UACAGAGGUCUCGAGCGUUGUUCGGAUUCAUUGGGCGUAAAGGGUGCGUAGGUGGCGUUGUAAGUCAGGUGUGAAAUUUCGGAGCUUAACUCCGAAACUGCAUUUGAUACUGCGGUGCUUGAGGACUGGAGAGGAGACUGGAAUUUACGGUGUAGCAGUGAAAUGCGUAGAGAUCGUAAGGAAGACCAGUGGCGAAGGCGGGUCUCUGGACAGUUCCUGACACUGAGGCACGAAGGCCAGGGGAGCAAACGGG
rnacentral:rRNA from 1 species